ACGAAAUUCACGAUCUUGCGCUGUAACUUCAGACGUAGAUUAAACGAUUUUUUGGUUUAAUUUAACCUGGAUUUGUAGAUUAGCGUUGACCAAAUAUUUUAUUUGUCCGGCCUCGCCGCCGGCGAAGGUUGCCUCCCGCUUCAGGCCGUCCAGUGGGCUCCGAUCAACGGAAUCGCAAAAACGGCACCAAGCCCAUCCGGAUCGGAAAACCGGUUCUCCUUCUACACGGAUUAAUUGUACAUCAUGCCGCCGUAAUCAUGGAUUCAUGACGCUGGUAACGCUGUAAUGAUUGAUUCAUGGCGUUGGUAAUUUGGAACCAUUAAUCUGAGCGUUACUGUCAGUUCUCCCUUCUCUUUCAAGUAUAAAUAUGUGGACACAGCCAACGAUCUUUCCUCACAACACCCAUCUCACAUUCGACGUCCCAUUACUCAUCCGAGAUGCUGCUUGCUUAGGGAUUGUCAUCAUCCUAUUUUCCAGAUUAUUAUUCCCGGACUCAUCUCACCAGUGUGACCAUUAUUUAUUAUUAUUUCACAAUGGUUGUUGGACAAGUACAUUUGCUGACAUAUUCUUUUGAGAUUAUUUGUUCCUUACUUCUCCUUUAAACUAGCUUAAUACUGUCUGCUAAUACAUACUUUCGAAAAAUUAAUCAAACAUCUCCAUCUAAGUACAUCCUUCUAUGUGAACAACCUAGCUUCCGUUCUCAGUGUAUCCGUGCAUAUAUCACAGGAUAUGCCUCUGUAGAAAUAAUGACAAAGCGUUCUCGAGCAAACCCAACUUAGCACGCGCACCUCUGCUCGAAGAAUACUGGGAAAAUGUCCAUGUGAUCUGCGACUACUUCGAGGCAUCCUGGAGACAACUACAACUACAUCAGUGCUAAUAUACAGACCAUGGUGGGAGGUUGCAUACAGAUUGCACAAUACUUCUAAUGUUGUACAGUUGAAACCGAUCCACAUUUUUAGUUGGACAAUGUUUGUAUGCAGAACGGCUGUAUUUUGACUUAUGUACAACCUCUGGAAAAUACAUGUUAUGCAAUCAAUCUAAAUGAUUAGAUGUAAAACUGUUGUUUCAACGGCUGGUUUAGAAAUUCGUUCGUAUUUAUUCUUAUUCAUUGGGAAGCUAAUUAAUGUAAAUUUUGACUGAAUUAUAGCAUCUGACAUUACUAUUGCAUUGAACUUGGAGUAUUUCUUUCAUGCUACAGGUUAGUAAGAAUAUGAUGUCGAGAAGGUAAAUACUUAUUCACUUAAUCUCUGAGUGCUUCAAGCUUUGACCAGUGUACAAAGUUCUGCAAUAUUGUUGAAAUGUUGGUGGAUCUAGAAUCUUGCCUGUUCUUGGCAGUAUCAGCGGCUCUCUGCCCUACUUUGCUUUUAAAUUUAGAAAAUAAAAUCAUUUGUGUGUAAACGCUGUUCGUGCUAACAUUUGUCUUGCCUUGAUCUUUUCGACGCCGUACAUUCAAGUGUCUGAACUCAUGGUACUACCUUUUGCCAUUUUAUGUUGGGUGUUCAUGUUGGUUCCUUUGGUGAUCUAGGUCGUGUGUGAAAUUGGGCAACUCAGUCUAGGGAAAGAGAAGGCUAUCAAAGAAGAGUUGCAAGUAAUUAAGCGUGUAUGCAAUGGGUCAAUGGGACAGUUGUUUACAGUUUGUACACAUUUAAAAGAUAGUUGGCUGAUACCUUUAGUCGUUAUAUUACAUGUGUUGCCUCUGUUUGCUAGGGCACAUAUGUCGUCAUAUUUUCAGGAUUAGAUUGAUCACCAUAUUGUUCUUACAUUUUUUUCUUGGCUGUUCUUGGAGAUUUGUGCUUGCCUUUAGUUCUUGUUUUUUGCUUGAAAUUCUAGCCUGCCCAACAUCUGGGUUGACACCGUAUAUUUAGAUGCCAUAGUGCCAUGGUGUGCAUUGCUGAUCAUGCAUAAAGAAGAAUUUAAGUUACUCAUUUUCCUCCUAUGAGUUGAAUCGUCUGAAAUUUUGGUGCAAGUUUAUUAUUAAAUGCUAUAUUUACAAUUGAAAAUCAGUAUGUUCUAUGUUCGUCAGUGGACCUGUUUUGAUAUCUUUUUUUUUGGUUAGACAGGUAGCUCACCAGAAAAGGGGUGAGAGAACAAUUUCGUUUAUUGGAAGGAGAUACAAGAAAUUUCUAUUACAUGACUUUUUUUUGCUGGAAUGCUGAGACUACUGCAGUUAUGGGUGAGAAGUACACAGUUUAAUUUGUCUUGCAUCUUCCCUAAAUGUACAAAAGGUACGCACUCUCUCGAAAAUCAAUCAUAUUACAAAUUUAUUGGUCUAUUGUUCCUUGCAUUUUUUGUUCCUGGUUUGUCGUGUAACAGUUUCACAUGCUGAAGUUUUUGGCGGUUUGCAAAAUCUGUGCACAUCAUGUGUCUGAUCUUUUGCCUUGACUAAAAUGCAUGACAUGUUAUUUAUCACAACACUUUCAUACCAAUAUUUACUCAGCUAUCCUGUGUAGUUAUUUCCUGAACUCCUUAUAAGGGCUUUCACCUUCUUGCUUUGGGAAAUAGCUUCUGAACUCAAUAUGAACAUACAAGGAAGUGUCAUACAUCAUUCAUUCACCAAUGAAUAUAUUCCAUCAAUUAAGAAGUAUGAUGGUACCUUCAAGGUAGACAAUACCACUCAUAUUCUCUGAAACUUCAAGGGACCCUUCAGUUUAAAUAUUCCAAACAUAUUCCAAUUAGAUGUCCUGAACAUAUUCUAUAUGGUUUGUAUAUGGUUUGCUUUCAUUAUCAUGCCAAAAAUCCCAUAGAUAAUAUUUUAAAUAUGAGUAGGUUUUUUUGUAAUAGCUUUUUGGUGAAGCUUGUUUAUGCUAUUUACCAUUUUUUGGCUUAGUUUUGCCUAGCUAAGCAUUUUUUGUUAGAUCUAGCAGUAAACCUGUGGCAUUUAACUGACUCGAUGUGCAUGUUUUGUUAGUCAUUCUGGUGAAGAUUUGAAUUGUACAAUUUCUCUUUGAUUUGUUGUGGGAACUUUGAUUUCUAGAUGGGAAACCCGAUAUACACUUGAACAACUUGAAGUAGUGUUGCGGAACUGGAAGGGCAGCAUAUAGAAGACAUAGUUACUGUGUGCUUGUUGCAUCCUUUUGUUUAUCUCUCAUACUCCAAUACUUGGAGCAAAGGAUCACAUGAUCUCAAUUUUUUAACAAGUGUAAUUUAGGUACUUAUUUUGUAUGUUCGCCAUAAUUCUCAAAUACGACAAAUUGUACUAUGUAUGUGUUUGUACUGGGCUCAAAUUGGGCACAAGUAAUAAUCAAAGUUGAUGCAUAAAGUAUAAUUUGUAAUGUACAAGGUUGGAAAAUAUAGUUG